rnacentral:snoRNA from 14 species
AUAGCAGUGUGCUACAUGAGAGGCAAGGAUUUUGCCACCACCACAAGGGUCUCUGGUCCAAUGAGUGAAGUUUGAUAGUAAUUCUUGCUACGAGU